AAAAAAAAGAUCAAAGCAAAAUAACGAAGUCAUAAUUUUGUUAUUCAAGUUCAAUCCAACAUGGUUGAGCAUGAUUUUCAUCAACAAACUCAAAGUUUAGUUAAGUUGGUGGUACUUGUAUGUUUGUUAUUUCUAUCUGCUAGUAUUUCAGUUGAAGCGCGAAUUCGUCAUUAUCAAUGGGAAGAUUCAAUUGUUCUAUUCCG
rnacentral:misc_RNA from 1 species